rnacentral:rRNA from 1 species
GCAAGUCGAGGGGCAGCAUUUAGUUGGCGACCGGCGCACGGGUGAGUAACGCGUACACAAUCUACCUUUUACAGGGGGAUAGCCUUUGGAAACGAAGAUUAAUACCCCAUAGUUCUUAGAUGUGGCAUCACAAUUAAGAUAAAGAAUUUCGGUAAAAGAUGAGUGUGCGUAUGAUUAGCUAGUUGGUAAGGUAAUGGCUUACCAAGGCUACGAUCAUUAGGGGGCGUGAGAGCGUGACC